AGUGAACGCUGGCGGUAGGCCUAACACAUGCAAGUCGAACGGCAGCACAGUAAGAGCUUGCUCUUACGGGUGGGGAGUGGCGGACGGGUGAGGAAUACAUCGGAAUCUACUUUUUCGUGGGGGAUAACGUAGGGAAACUUACGCUAAUACCGCAUACGACCUACGGGUGAAAGCAGGGGAUCUUCGGACCUUGCGCGAUUGAAUGAGCCGAUGUCGGAUUAGCUAGUUGGCGGGGUAAAGGCCCACCAAGGCGACGAUCCGUAGCUGGUCUGAGGGGAUGAUCAGCCACACUGGAACUGAGACACGGUCCAGACUCCUACGGGAGGCAGCAGUGGGGAAUAUUGGACAAUGGGCGCAAGCCUGAUCCAGCCAUACCGCGUGGGUGAAGAAGGCCUUCGGGUUGUAAAGCCCUUUUGUUGGGAAAGAAAAGCAGCAGGUUAAUACCCCGCUGUUCUGACGGUACCCAAAGAAUAAGCACCGGCUAACUUCGUG
rnacentral:rRNA from 1 species